AUGCCCACACAAAAGGUCCCAGCUGCACCGCAAGCUUCUGUCCCACUGUCCCCAGCUCAGAGUGAAGCAGAAACUCGAAGCAGACGGUGCUCCCCAAAAGCAGUGCCCCAAAAGAUGCUGGGGCAGGCGCCAUGGGCAAGGCUGUCUCCUUCUGUCCCUGCCGUCCUGCUGCUGGCACUCUGUGGCAGCAUGACCUCCCAGGACAUCUGCAGCUCCUCAGGGGAUCUCCUGGCUCCUGCUCUCCAAAUGAACUCAAGUUCUGCUCAGCCAGGUACCACAGUUUUGCUCCAGUGUAUUCUCCCUGUGGUGUCAUCCGUAAUAAGAAUCAUCAUCUGCAAGGAUGGCAAGCAGCUGUACAGCGAGAAAGCCCAUCAAGAGCAGCUGAGCUACUCUGUGGUCUUGAACAUCACGUCAAGAAGCGCAGGAAGAUAUACAUGUGGGUACCAGCAGAGGAAUGAGAUGAAACAGAGGAGGAGCUCUGCCCUCAGUGCUGGCCGCAUCCUGAAUGUCCCAGGCAAUGUGGCGAGUUCCCCAGCAAGUCCAUCACCCCCAGGCAACAGCACGUUGACAGCCCACAGAUGGAAACAACUGACUCUGGAGAAGUCACAUGUGAGUACUACCUCCUCCCACAUGGGAAGCCACAUGCCCAUCUCACCAUGGGCAUCCAGUGCAACUGUACAUGCAAUCCCACCCCUUCAUUUCCCACUGGGAAAUACAAAAUCCCUGCCCGUUCAUCAAGAGCAAGUUUCUCUCCAGCACCUCACAUCCUCCUUCUUCCUUGCAUGCAGAGUGUGCGAGGCUGCUGGCUACACAAGGGACAUGGAAGCAUCCCAGUGCUCCCAG
rnacentral:lncRNA from 1 species